AGAUGUUGCUGAACUACAACUCCCAUGAUUCAUUCAUUGAAACAGAUAGUCAAGGCAUCAUGGGAGUUGUAGUUUAGUAACA